AUUGAACGCUGGCGGCAUGCUUUACACAUGCAAGUCGAACGGUAACAGGGUGCUUGCACCGCUGACGAGUGGCGAACGGGUGAGUAAUGCGUCGGAACGUGCCGAGUAGUGGGGGAUAACGCAGCGAAAGUUGUGCUAAUACCGCAUACGUACUGAGGUAGAAAGUGGGGGACCUUCGGGCCUCACGCUAUUCGAGCGGCCGACGUCUGAUUAGCUAGUAGGUGAGGUAAAGGCUCACCUAGGCGACGAUCAGUAGCGGGUCUGAGAGGAUGAUCCGCCACACUGGGACUGAGACAUGGCCCAGACUCCCACGGGAGGCAGCAGUGGGGAAUUUUGGACAAUGGGCGAAAGCCUGAUCCAGCCAUGCCGCGUGUCUGAAGAAGGCCUUCGGGUUGUAAAGGACUUUUGUCGGGGAGGAAAUCCCCAGCGUUAAUACCGCUGGGGGAUGACAGUACCUGAAGAAUAAGCACCGGCUAACUACGUGCCAGCCGCCGCAGUAAGAC
rnacentral:rRNA from 1 species